rnacentral:rRNA from 1 species
GACGAACGCUGGCGGCGUGCUUAACACAUGCAAGUCGAGCGGUAAGGCCCGUUUCGGGGUACGACGAGCGGCGAACGGGUGAGUAACACGUGGGUGACCUGCCCUCAGCUCUGGGAUAAGCCUGGGAAACCGGGUCUAAUACUGGAUAUGACUCCAUGACGCAUGUUGGUGGGGUGGAAAGCCUUGUGCGGCUGAGGAUGGG